rnacentral:rRNA from 1 species
CGUGUAGGCGGACGUGUAAGUCCGGUGUAAAAGCCCCCGGCUCAACCGGGGAAGGCCACCGGAGACUGCAUGUCUCGAGUGCGGGAGGGGAGAGUGGAACUCUUGGUGGAGCGGUGAAAUGCGUAGAUAUCAAGAGGAACGCCGGCGGCGAAAGCGGCUCUCUGGCCCGUGACUGACGCUGAGGCGCGAAAGCUAGGGGAGCAAACGGGAUUAGAUACCCCGGUAGUCCUAGCCCUAAACGAUGGGUACUAAGUAGGGCGGCUCCGAUGUCGUCUCUGCUGCAGCCAAUGUGCUAAGUACCCCGCCUGGGGAGUACGGUCGCAAGGCUGAA